rnacentral:lncRNA from 1 species
GUUUUGGAUUAGGAAGAAGCUCGUAUAUGACUACCAGGAUUCAUCUGCCUGUUGCAACGACUUAUGCAACAUGCCUUUCAAAACCAGUGUGCUUGUUCUCAUUUUAUUUCCCACUUGAUUGAAAAGUCAACAUUCGUGAAAACAGAUAAGAAAGCAUGAGAAGCGGACAUUUUUUAAAACAUGAAAACAGAAGAAUGGUUUGAC